rnacentral:rRNA from 1 species
GACGAACGCUGGCGGCGUGCUUAACACAUGCAAGUCGAACGGAAAGGCCCCUUCGGGGGUCCUCGAGUGGCGAACGGGUGAGUAACACGUGAGUAACCUGCCCUUGACUUCGGGAUAACUUCAGGAAACUGGGGCUAAUACCGGAUAGGAAUCCUUGCUGCAUGGUGGGGGUUGGAAAGCUUCGGCGGUUUUGGAUGGACUCGCGGCUUAUCAGCUUGUUGGUGGGGUAGUGGCUUACCAAGGCUUUGACGGGUAGCCGGCCUGAGAGGGCGACCGGCCACAUUGGGACUGAGAUACGGCCCAGACUGCUACGGGAGGCAGCAGUGGGGAAUAUUGCACAAUGGGCGGAAGCCUGAUGCAGCAACGCCGCGUGCGGGAUGACGGCCUUCGGGUUGUAAACCGCUUUCAGCAGGGGCGAAGCUUGUGGUGACGGUACCUGCAGAAGAAGCACCGGCUAACUACGUG